CUCUUAAUGAUUUGGAAGCAGUGUUAAUGGCUGUCACCUGCUAUACUUCAGACUGUCAAUAAAGACAAAUUAACCACUAAGUUCUGUUGGUUAAAAGACGGGAAGACCUUCCUAUCACAGCUUGUCAGGGCACUCAAGCUGCUAGAGGGCUUGCUGCUGAGAAAUGGAAAGCAUUUCCCUGCUCAGAGGAAUUUAUACCAACUUCACUGGAGAGUUCUGCAUGUAAUGUUUUCAUUGCUAGGAACAGGAACUAAAGUACAACCAAAAUCGGAGUACAGUUGCUUACAGCUCCUGAUAUGGAAAUCACCAAUUUCACAACUGCUACAACAUGGUUGGCUCACGUCUUAUGUCACAGAGAGUACUUUUAUCUAGAUUCAUACAUCUGGCAUUUUAAGUCUUAUGGAUGACAUAAUCAACAUUCAGAGACGUUUCUUUCUACAUUAAGGUAAUGUCAGGG
ensembl:lncRNA